AUUCUUGGUCAUUUAGAGGAAGUAAAAGUCGUAACAAGGUUUUGCUAAGCAACAGUCCUUCUGUAGCAGAGCUUAACGGAGACCUUGCACCCGAGAGGGGGGAGGCGACUAUAAACAAAGCUUCCAGCGCAAGUCAGCACCGCUGGCAACACAAUCGAAUUGCGGGGACGCUUUAAAGCCUACCAGUACCAACAGCCCCUGCCGGGGCUGGGCGAGCGCAGCUCGAGGUCACAACCUGGGAGGAUGCCACAAUAAGCAAUCCGCAGCGGCUCCGGCCGUCCACAGACUAAGUGGUUGUGGGUAGGAGAACCCUAUCUAAGAUAUAGUCGGGCCUGAGGAGAGAUCCUCGGGGCUUCUGCGUCCGUAGGUGAACCUGCGGAAGGAUCAUUAAAAAGGAUACCGGGCAACCGGUAGACCCCACCCGUGUCUAUCUACUCUUGUUGCUUUGGCAGGCCGUGGCCUCCACCGUGGGCUCUGCCUGCGCGUGCCUGCCAGAGGACCAAACUCUGAAUUUUAGUGAUGUCUGAGUACUAUAUAAUAGUUAAAACUUUCAACAACGGAUCUCUUGGUUCUGGCAUCGAUGAAGAACGCAGCGAAAUGCGAUAAGUAAUGUGAAUUGCAGAAUUCAGUGAAUCAUCGAAUCUUUGAACGCACAUUGCGCCCGGUGGUAUUCCGCCGGGCAUGCCUGUUCGAGCGUCAUUAUAACCACUCAAGCCUGGCUUGGUAUUGGGGUUCGCGGUUCCGCGGCCCCUAAAAUCAGUGGCGGUGCCGGUGGGCUCUAAGCGUAGUAAAUCUCCUCGCUAUAGGGUCCCUCCGGUUGCUCGCCAGAACCCCCAAUUUUUUAAGGUUGACCUCGGAUCAGGUAGGGAUACCCGCUGAACUUAAGCAUAUCAAUAAGCGGAGGAAAAGAAACCAACCAAUCGUCGAC
rnacentral:rRNA from 1 species